rnacentral:rRNA from 1 species
UACGGAGGAUGCAAGCGUUAUCCGGAAUUAUUGGGCGUAAAGCGUCUGUAGGUGGACAUUCAAGUCUGCUGUCAAAGACCGGGGCUUAACCCUGGAAAGGCGGUGGAAACUGAAAGUCUAGAGUGCGGUAGGGGUAGAGGGAAUUCCCAGUGUAGCGGUGAAAUGCGUAGAGAUUGGGAAGAACACCGGUGGCGAAAGCGCUCUGCUGGGCCUGCACUGACACUAAGGGACGAAAGCUAGGGGAGCGAAUGGGAUUAGAUACCCCAGUAGUCCUAGCCGUAAACGAUGGAUACUAGGCGUAGCUGGUAUCGACCCCAGCUGUGCCGUAGCUAACGCGUUAAGUAUCCCGCCUGGGGAGU